rnacentral:rRNA from 1 species
GACGAACGCUGGCGGCGUGCCUAAUACAUGCCAGUAGAACGCACAGUUUAUACCGUAGCUUGCUACACCAUAGACUGUGAGUUGCGAACGGGUGAGUAACGCGUAGGUAACCUGCCUGGUAGCGGGGGAUAACUAUUGGAAACGAUAGCUAAUACCGCAUAAUAUUAAUUAUUGCAUGAUAAUUAAUUGAAAGGUGCAAUUGCACCACUACCAGAUGGACCUGCGUUGUAUUAGCUAGUAGGUGAGGUAACGGCUCACCUAGGCGACGAUACAUAGCCGACCUGAGAGGGUGAUCGGCCACACUGGGACUGAGACACGGCCCAGACUCCUACGGGAGGCAGCAGUAGGGAAUCUUUGGCAAUGGACGAAAGUCUGACCGAGCAACGCCGCGUGAGUGAAGAAGGGUUUCGGAUCGUAAAGCUCUGUUGUAAGAGAAGAACGGGUGUGAGAGUGGAAAGUUCACACUGUGACGGUAUCUUACCAGAAAGGGACGGCUAACUACGUG